UAUUUAAUCAGAGGAUAGAAUGGGCUUGGAUAGCCCUUACUACAGACUGGUUUUCACACAAGGUACAGUAGACAGUUAUUUAAUCAGAGGAUAGAAUGGGCUUGGAUAGCCCUUACCACAGACUGGUUUUCACACAAGGUACAGUAGACACUAUUUAAGCAGAGGAUAGAAUGGGCUUGGAUAGCCUUUACUACAGACUGGUUUUCACACAAGGUACAGUAGACACAGUUAUUUAAGCAGAGGAUAGAAUGGGCUUGGAUAGCCCUUACU
rnacentral:lncRNA from 1 species